rnacentral:rRNA from 1 species
UACGGGGGGGGCAAGCGGUUGUUCGGAAUUACUGGGCGUAAAGGGCUCGUAGGUGGCCAACUAAGUCAGACGUGAAAUCCCUCGGCUUAACCGGGGAACUGCGUCUGAUACUGGAUGGCUUGAGUUCGGGAGAGGGAUGCGGAAUUCCAGGUGUAGCGGUGAAAUGCGUAGAUAUCAAGAGGAACACCUGAGGUGAAGACGGGUUGCUGGGCUGACACUGACGCUGAGGCGCGAAAGCUAGGGUAGCAAACGGG